rnacentral:rRNA from 1 species
UACGUAGGGUGCAAGCGUUAAUCGGAAUUACUGGGCGUAAAGCGUGCGCAGGCGGUUUUGUAAGUCUGUCGUGAAAUCCCCGGGCUCAACCUGGGAAUUGCGAUGGAGACUGCAAGGCUAGAAUCUGGCAGAGGGGGGUAGAAUUCCACGUGUAGCAGUGAAAUGCGUAGAUAUCUGGAGGAACACCGGUGGCGAAGGCGGCAUCCUGGACCGGCAUUGACGCUGAGGCGCGAAAGCGUGGGUAGCAAACAGG